rnacentral:rRNA from 1 species
UACGGAGGGUGCGAGCGUUGUCCGGAAUCACUGGGCGUAAAGGGCGCGUAGGCGGCCUGAUAAGUAGGGGGUGAAAUCCUGCGGCUUAACCGCAGGGCUGCCUUCUAAACUGUCAGGCUCGAGCACAGUAGAGGCAGGUGGAAUUCCCGGUGUAGCGGUGGAAUGCGUAGAGAUCGGGGAAGAACAUCAGUGGCGAAGGCGGCCUGCUGGGCUGUUGCUGGACGCUGAGGCGCGACAGCGUGGGGGAGCAAACAGGG